UUAAGCGCUUUGAGUACGUGAAAAGCGCUAUAUAAAUUGAAUCUAUUAUUAUUAUUAACAGAUAUUCUAGUGAUUUUCAUCUAACAUGGUGUAUUUGGAUCAACUUUAUUUUACCAUUAGUAGAUUGUCUGUCUAUGAUGCGUUGAGUGGGCGUAGGCCUGUGGUACCUACGUGUGCGUGGGUCCAGUACCUAUUGGACAGGCGUCUAUGACGUCGGGGCCUUAGGUGUGAAUGUCUACCGAGGGACUGCUAUCAGGCAUAAAUAUACGGGGCCCCGUGAUACGGGAGCGUACGACCUCCGACCCUGACGUUAGACACGCUAUUCUAAGUUAGUAAACGCGUCGUAGCAGUUGGAAGAAAAAAAAAAAAACAGCGAUCCGUCCUGCACAACUAUGCCGACUGACUGUAAGUAUUCAUAUGAGUGUAUCAUGAUUAUAUUAUGACUAUGUCUAUGUGAAUCAGCUGUUUAUAUCUGACCGUAGCUGCGAUUACUUCACAGCGAAUUGCGGUGCCGGAGGCGAGAGCGUGAAACAGCAGCAGGGUCCACGUGGAAAUUUGCCUGAUAUUCGGCUCAACAUUCAAAGACCGAUUCUAGCAGACCAGACUAAUGUGCUGACAAGCGGUAGUUUUGUACCUAUCGAGGCCAAUGUCAUUCAGCGAACCCCGGACCAAAUCGACUGUCCAAGAAGAAUUUGAAAAGAUCGGCGGGGGUAGUGGUGGCUAUACCCUGUUCACCACUGGCCAUAGAACAGCUACAAAUUCCUUAUAAAAAGGCUCGCAAGGAUGCCACACAUAAUGGUUUAACUCCGGAGAAUAUUACCCAGGUUAUACAGGCAGUCAUAAAUCCGCAAAUUGCGCCAGAUGGAGCGGCAUGGACUGAUCCCAAACACCGUGUGAUCGGGGACGUGGAGGUGUAUGCGCCUGAGUCGCCUACAGAGACCGUCACUGUGCAACCGGAUGGGACUAUACAACACGCAGCCCAUGGAGAUCCCCAGUGUGCGCCACCACCAGAGCUGACCGCCGACGAUUGGGCUGGUCUUGACGACAUCUCGUCCUGGACUUCAUCGUUGUUGGAACAUAUCGACUUCACUCCUGCGCAGUGGAUCGACUCUCCAGCUACAUCCGUAGAGGCUACCACCAGUGCAGAGCCUGUACAACACCAUCAGCCUGCAGAUCCUGCAUCUGGACCCCUACAAGCCGUUCAAGACCCUAUCAGCGACCCCCCGUGCACCGUGAGUCCCAUCGCUCAUGAGGUAGCGGUGCCGAGGCUACCAGCCGGUCCCGCAAUUGCUGUUGAUGAACACCAUGCAGGGGUGCAAGGUGAUAAAUGGCGUAAACAAUUUGCUGAUAAACUAGCUGUGUUAACUGCGUCGGUAGAUGUAAACUCCUUAGGCAUUGCUCGUCUGCGUAAACUGGGGGUGGAGGCUGGUAAACGUGUUGACAGUAUAUAUCAGAAGCUCGAAGAACAGACGAAGAAGUCCUUCACGGCUCUCAGGGCCGAGAUUGCGCGUGAUCGUAUGACUGCUGAAUCCCCAAACACUGAGACCAGUAAUGGUCGUGCUAUCGUUGCCCUUCAGCGUAAGCAUUUGGAUGCCGUGGCAGCUGUGCGUGUCAACACGCAGGGUAUAGAGAGAAUUAACGCGCAAGAGGGGUUAAGAGCUGCUAAAACCGCUCGAAAAUUCUGGUUAAUGCAAUCUGCUAGCGAAGCCAACGUCAAUGCCUAUCGGGCAAUGAGUACCGAGAUGUCUGUGAUUAAUGAAACACUAGCAAAGCUUACGAUGAAUGCUAUUAUUUGAUUUGUGUUUUUGUUUUUUAAUGU